rnacentral:rRNA from 1 species
GGCCGAUGAACGGGAACAGCUCAUAGCCGAACCGCUGGCCAUCUCGGUCAUGCGGAAUGUGGCGUUUGGAAGGGUCUCUUCCACGGCAUAGACACCAGUCAAAGUCCAACUUGACAGUGGCCACAGCCCAUAGAGGGUGAUAGGCCCGUAAGGCGGUUGUCUUGCUGUGCUGACCUCUUCCCCGAGUAGGGUUGCUUGAGAGUGCAGCCCGAAGCGCGAGGUAAACUCCUCGUAAAGCUAAAUAUGACCCCAAGACCGAUAGCAAACAAGUACAGUGAUGGAAAUUUGCAAAGAACUUUGAAGAGAGAGUUAAAAGUACGUGAAACUGUGUGGUUGUAAACGAAGCCUCCCUCGAAGUGUUCCCGGGCGAACCCAACCUAGGGCUGGGGCAGCUCUUGCCACCUGAUCAGCAAUGACUGAUGGCGGGAUGCUUGCUCUGGCCACGGGUGCAUCUUUGCCCGGGUUUACGGCAGGAACUGUUGGGACUGGACCGAAGGCCUGGGAUGAAGUUUUCGCUUCGGCGUUAGCUCCCGGUGUCCUGGCUCCGGACCCGACAGGCAAAUCCGUGCGGACUUGUACAGCAAGCAACGCUUCUGUUGCGGUCCGCCGUUCCCUGCCGAGUAGGUCGGUGAAGGCUUCGACCCGUCUUGAAACACGGACC